UUACCGUGGAAGCUGGUGAUGGGUGCGUGGGGCGACCUUACGCCACUCCGUUGACUUUGUGUAUGUUUGAAAGCUCUCAUCAUAAAAACUAAAGAAAAACACGUCAGGCUGAUCUUACAGUGACCUCAUCUCCAUGCUCUUGGCAUUCUAGAAUGCUCGCCGGAGACCAGGAGAAAGGGAAGGAUGGCUAUCUCCCAGCAGGAAUCGAGCGGGACUCCUAGUGAACACAGGAGCCUCGAGUUGCCGUCAGCCGCUUGGGAAAGCCAAGGCGGGGAGUUUGAACGUAGGGAAACAGAAAGAAAGCCCCUAGAUGAAGCCAUUCCACAAUCCAUCGACUUUUUCAGCUACGCCAGCCAAUAAAUUGCCUUUGGGGCUUAAGUCA